GGCAGACGGGUGAGUAACACGUGGUCAACCUACCUUUAAGUGGGGGAUAACUAGCCGAAAGGUUAGCUAAUACCGCAUACGACCUUCGAGCGGCAUCGUUUGGAGAUGAAAGGAGCAAUCCGCUUAAAGACGGGACCGCGUCCCAUUAGCUAGAUGGUGGGGUAAUGGCCUACCAUGGCGACGAUGGGUAGCUGGCUUGAGAGAGCGACCAGCCACACUGGGACUGAGACACGGCCCAGACUCCUACGGGAGGCAGCAGUGAGGAAUUUUCCGCAAUGGGCGCAAGCCUGACGGAGCGACGCCGCGUGUGGGAAGAAGGCCUUCGGGUCGUAAACCACUGUCGAAGGGGAAGAUAUUGACGGUACCCUUGGAGGAAGCCCCGGCUAACUACGUGCCAGCCGCCGCGG
rnacentral:rRNA from 1 species